rnacentral:lncRNA from 1 species
AUGGACAUAUGAAAGUAUCUCAACUAUUUACAAGUCAGUGCGAUCCUUCUUGGUCGCAGUCCAUGUUUUUUGCUCAUCUUCCUAACUGUUGUUCGCGUUGCUCUAUCCAAUCUUCAUUCUACUUGUGUUACAAUCAAUGUGUAUACAUACUCGUAAAAGCAAAUUAGCAAAACCAAAAACAAAAACAAAUAAUAAUAAAGAGAAUGGCUUAGGGCGACGUCGGGAUAACUAAACUAAAACUAACUCUGCAGAGAUGAAGAGCUAAUCUAAAAUAAAAAAAAACUAAAUUAAAACUAAAAAGAAUUGAAUGUCAAAUGAAGCCAAAGCAACUCUCCAGUUCUAUUUGUCCUAUUUUUGAUAGUUGUAUAUAUGUAUACUCUAUAUACGAUACAUACCAUAUUCUAUGUACGAUAGCACCAUAUGGGUGUAAUUUUUUUUCGAUUGAUUUAGCAUUGAAUGUGCAUAGAUAAAUACAUACUUAUGUAUAUGAAAACACCGGUAUAUGUGUCUCUACAAUACUCGUAAUUGUAUCAAGAUAAUAAGAUAAUAAUGCAUUAUACAAUAUACAUUAAGUCCAAGUUCAUCAGCAUCAUCAGCAGUAAUACCAUCGGACCAGAACGGGGGAACGGUGGAACGGUGGAACGGUGGAACGGGAUGGGGUGGUUUGGCACUGAAUCAAACUGAUUGGGAGUGGGAGUGGAACGGACUGACACAGCAUCGAAGUGGAACAGGGCCGUGGAGGAGCCAGCUAUGCAAUUGUAUUACUCCUGCGACCCUGUAUCCACUUCUCCAACUCCGAUGUUCGGUGAUAUUGUUGCUGAUGAUCUGAUAUGUUGCCGUUGUUGAUGUCGUGCAAUUGUAAUUACCGUUGUUCAAUUGUUAAUAAUGUUUAUCCACAGUAUGUUUGUGUGAACAACCAAAGACUACAUCCGAGAAUGCAGUUACCACCGACUAAAGUACUUUAGCAGUGCUAACUGAAGUCCACAGAAUUCCACAGAAUUCCACACAAAAACAAAAACAAAAACAAAAUGAAAAUGAAAACCCAAAGAUACCUAAAUAUUUCCACACAGACUUCUGUGUGCGGUACAGUCAGAGACACGAUUGUAUAUACAUAUAUACAAUUUUUAGAGUCGGUUAAGGUAGAAGGGGAGAAAGCAUGAUCUAUUAUUUUAAUAACUCUUUAUUUUAGCCUUUCUGUUGGGCUUAUCGCCCUAGGUGGAAGAUUGGGGGAAAACUACGCAUAGUCUAGUGAUUAUAAGCAGGAAAGAAGAUGGAUCGAGGGAUAUUUCUUCUAUAUCUUGUGUAAAUACCUGAGGAGAGCCCGGGGAUCACUCCCUGGAACACGUCUGUACAUAGAAUGUGGCGAGAGAGGAUCGAUCACAGGAUAACAAAUCAGAUCGGGAUUAAGUUUAGUCGAUUUUCAAAAAGCAACCGAAAGUACGAACAAUCAUCUGACGACACAUAACGAAGUCAAGCUAAGGAACAAUAGGAAACAAAGGCAAGAAAACACACUCAACCUUAUAUAAUUCAGUGAAUCACUUCAUAUAUAGAUAAAAUGUGUGUAUAUUCUGCAGAUAGUGCAUGCAGAAGCUAUCCAACUCCUGGACGCCCAUCCCACGGCCGAAGGCAUCUCGCAGCAGUGGAUCGUGAGGGACAUUUGGAGGAGCAGAAGAGAAGGAGCAGGAGGAGGAGGAGAAAUUGGUGCACCAGGCGAGAGAGUACUUUACUACACCAAACAAUACCAAGAAUAUACACCUAUAUAUACAC